AGUUUGGAUUGGAAUUAAAUUAACAGCUCUGUUGUUCCAUGAGGUGAAUAUAAUCCACAAACUAACUGGACUAGGUUAGCAGUGGUGAAAUAUAUAAGUAUUUUUGAACACACAGGGAUCAAGCAGAUCUGUGCAGCAUUGAGAAGCUGUUUUUGUCAGAUGACUUAUGAUUAUGAAAUGCUUGUAGAAGGAAAGAGGUCUGUUUAUUUUUAGUUAGUUUUUAAUGAGAUCACAAAUUCUUCUGGAAGGAAGAUAAAGGAGACAACUUUGGGGUCUGGAGUAAGCUCGUGCUCACUUUUUAUUUUGGCACUAGAUCAUACCUUUGUUUGAAUCUCUCCUCACUGUUUAUUUAUGAAUAGUCAGUGAACUUUUCCAUACCCCAAAUUAGAUAAUUAUCAUAAACCCUCCUCCACAUGCAAAUAUGUAGAGGACAGCAAACGGAUUUCAGCUGCUGAAGCAAGCUGCUGUGGUCUUCGUGGAGAUUUUGCUGCAGGGAGUCACACAGCCUUUCAGAUGAUGUCAUGAGGAAGACUGAAGCCUGGCAACCCUUCCUACUUGGCAUUUGCUUGAGAAAAUCUAGCUGGAUACUUUUCUUCUGUUCCAAAUCACAAACCAGGCAAGCAUCAUACACAAGACAUUUGCCAUUUGCCUUUGAAUGAAAGCAGACUCAGAACGGCACUGAUCUCUGGAUUGAUGUGGCUAAACACAUUGAUGUACCUGCUGCCAGACAACCUCCGUGUACCCUUGAUGUUCUACAUUAACACUUCACUGCACGAGUCAGUUGGCUUAACCCUGUUGACUUCAGUGCACCUUGGAGCAAGCUGCUUGCCAGCAGCUGCAGUCAGAGUAUGUGUGAAUACGCUCCCUCACUGCAUCUGCAGGGUAUAUUGGAAGGAAAGUCAAUGAGGUUAACCUGUCACCUCCUACAGUCACCCAUGAGACAAGCAAGCUACUCCUGAGCAGUAAACUGAAGUAGUCAAAGCCAUGGUAGCUCCUCCAUACAAACACACACACUGGGCCCGCUGGAAAACAUGUGAAACACCACUAUGAUGUGGUGUCACCAGUCACUGUGGGUUUAUGAGUUAAAGUGCAUUCACUAUUUAGGUAUUUUAUUAAUAAUAUAUUUGUGGCAAUUAGGAAAGGCUAGUGUAGGUUUAUAAAUACAUAAAUACUCUUAAAAACAAUUAUUUACAACACUAUAGACACAAGUGCUUUUUUUUUCCUUCAUGAUUGAGAAUAACAUAUUUAUUAAUUUAUUUCCUUGUCCUGUAUCAUUUUCUUUGUAUCAGGUUCUUUGCAGCACCAGCCAGCCAUUUUAAGCCUGGGAACACAGUUAAUACAUUGUGUAUGGCCCAGCUGACUCUUAAAAGGCGGACUGCACCUUGAUAGAAUCAUCAGAUUUUUGUCUUUACAGAGCAACUUCUCCCUUCACACCUGGGCUGGUGGGGAUAGGCACAAACAGCCAAGUGCGUCAUCUACCAUGCACGCCUGGGUGUCCCACUGCUGUUGCGCGGUGCCUGCUGUUCUUUGUUUCUGCCAUUUUCCAGCCUCUCCCUACCAGUCUGGGCACACAAUGACUCCAGAAGACCAUCAGCAAAGCAAAUUAAAACGAUGUGCCCUGGAUUUUGCAACAGCGAGCCUCUCAGUUCAGCUUCAGAAGUUCAUUGUUCAUCUUCCGGUAUGAUACCGGCUCCCUCAGCAGCUCAGACAGCAGCAGCAGAUGGGCCUGAGAGUUAUGUUUCCGAGUAUGCCUGCCCCUCCUUGCUCUUCCUGUCUGUCUGUGUGCUCACAUUCUGUGUUGCAAAAUCACACAGCGUGUAUCCCAAUGCCAUCCCCAGCAGCACCAAGAGAAAAACCAUGGGACUAGCAGAAAAUGUAUCUAUGGGACUGAAAGAUACCUCAGGAUCCCGGGAUCCUGCUUCCUGCAGUCCCAGGUUGCAUUCUCCAGUUAAGCACCAUCAAUAUCAAUACUUAAUGGUAUUCUCUAAGCUGAGGCAGUGAAGAAAAUAGGGUUGUUAUCUAUCAAAGCACAUUUUAGUUUUUGACAAGUAAAAAGCAGCAUGGGGAAUGCAGUACGUCUGAAAUGAAAGCCUAAAAGAAAACUCAUAUAACAUCUGGUGUCAUUUAUCCCCUGUUGGCCUUUCAUAGUGUGAUAUGAUGAGCUUGUUCUGAUUUAAGAUCAGAUGAUUUGGUUUGAAAGAGGGGAGUGGGGGAUGUAGCCAGUCUGGCAGCAAAUUGGGAUACAAAAUCUGCUCAAAUAAUUGGAAACACGACAGAUUUUCCUUAACUGAUGCCAGUGGCAUCUUAGUUUAUCCAUCUCUCUCAGCUGAAUUUGUUAAGUGCAUUAUCUUAUUGGUUUUAAAGUUUUCAUCUCACUUAUUUGCAGGGGAAAAUGUGAGCAAAUCAGUCAUGAUGGAUUGCCUAAUUUUCUGGGCUGAAUAAACCAGUUUUAUAAGACUGUUGAUUCCUGGGUUAUUAGUUAAUAGAAACAUUUAUCAAUUUCUUUAUAGAGAAUGGAAAAAGAAAUCUUUAACCAAUGAUUGCAUUUUAAAACUUUCAUUAAUGUUUCCACAUAAUGCUUAGUGUUGGACAUGAAUAUGGUAAUCACAGAUUUAGGGUUGGCUUGAAGCAGAUUUUUUUUUUGGUCCUGUCUUCCUUCUCCUUUUCCUGUAAAAAAUAAAUAAAAUAAAAUAAAAAGACAAAGCAAAAGGAUGUAAUUAGAUUGUUAAUUAUAUUGCCUGUUCUUUGGUCAAAGAAAGUAUCAGAGGAAGAGGAAAACCAUUUCCUGGCUAGCAAAUGUGGUGUCUGUUUCUAUUUCCAAUUUUCUUUACACAAAUGGGGCCUGACUCUUUUAGCUUGUACCUUAAUGACAUAGCAGCCUCUGUCUUCUUCUCAGUAUACUGAAGUGCCAGCCAGAUGUUAACUCUGACUUCUGUGUGCCUUAAGCACAUCCUUAAAGUUACCUACUAUUCCUUGAAUCCUUUGACAUUCUUCGUUCCUAAGAAAAUACAUGGGGUUUUGUGUGCUUCACAAUGAAACCUCUGAAAAUGUUGGUUUGUUGAUAGAGAUCCGAGUGAUAUAAUCUACAAAGUGACCUUAUUUUUUUUUUUUUAAUGAAAAUAAAUAUUUUUACUUCUUAAAGAGAAAGACUGUCUUUUCAAUUCUACAAAGUGUCAGGUCUGAGCCUCAUUAAAGUUCAUUUUAAAAUGCAA